rnacentral:rRNA from 2 species
UUGACCUCGGAUCAGGUAGGGAUACCCGCUGAACUUAAGCAUAUCAAUAAGCGGAGGAAAAGAAACCAACCGGGAUUGCCUCAGUAACGGCGAGUGAAGCGGCAAGAGCUCAAAUUUGAAAUCUGGCCCCUCCGGGGUCCGAGUUGUAAUUUGUAGAGGAUGCUUCGGGUGCGGCCCCCGUCUAAGUGCUCUGGAACGGGCCAUCGGAGAGGGUGAGAAUCCCGUCUGGGACGGGGUGUCCGCGUCCAUGUGAAGCUCCUUCGACGAGUCGAGUUGUUUGGGAAUGCAGCUCUAAAUGGGUGGUAAAUUUCAUCUAAAGCUAAAUACUGGCCGGAGACCGAUAGCGCACAAGUAGAGUGAUCGAAAGAUGAAAAGCACUUUGAAAAGAGAGUUAAACAGCACGUGAAAUUGUUGAAAGGGAAGCGCUUGCGACCAGACUCGCUUCCGGGGUUCAGCCGGCUUUCGGGCCGGUGUACUUCCCCGGGGGCGGGCCAGCGUCGGUUUGGGCGGCCGGUCAAAGGCCCCUGGAAUGUAACGCCUCUCGGGGCGCCUUAUAGCCAGGGGUGUCAUGCGGCCAGCCUGGACCGAGGAACGCGCU